rnacentral:rRNA from 1 species
GGUACCGCCUGCCCAGUGACUCUUUAAACGGCCGCGGUAUCCUAACCGUGCAAAGGUAGCAUAAUCACUUGUCCCCUAAAUAGGGACUAGAAUGAACGGCUAAAUGAGGACUAAACUGUCUCUUAUAGGCUGACCAAUGAAAUUGAUUUUCCAGUACAAAAGCUGGAAUAAAUACAUAAGACGAGAAGACCCUGUGGAGCUUCAAAACCAAAAGCACCAAAUUUGCUUUCUUGGAUUUUUAGUUGGGGCGACUUCGGAGCACAAAAAAACCUCCGAAACAUGACAAUUAACCUAAUCAAGAUUAACACAUCAAAACAAACACAUGAGACCCAGUAACUACCAUAAACGUUAUCUGACCAAUGAACCAAGUUACCCCAGGGAUAACAGCGCCAUCCCCUUCUAGAGUCCAUAUCGACAAGGGGGUUUACGACCUCGAUGUUGGAUCAGGACACCCCAAUGGUGCAGCCGCCUUUAAAGGUUCGUUUGUUCAACGAUUAAAGUCCUA